UAGGGAAUCUUCGGCAAUGGACGGAAGUCUGACCGAGCAACGCCGCGUGAGUGAAGAAGGUUUUCGGAUCGUAAAGCUCUGUUGUAAGAGAAGAACGAGUGUGAGAGUGGAAAGUUCACACUGUGACGGUAUCUUACCAGAAAGGGACGGCUAACUACGUGCCAGCAGCCGCGGUAAUACGUAGGUCCCGAGCGUUGUCCGGAUUUAUUGGGCGUAAAGCGAGCGCAGGCGGUUAGAUAAGUCUGAAGUUAAAGGCUGUGGCUUAACCAUAGUAGGCUUUGGAAACUGUUUAACUUGAGUGCAAGAGGGGAGAGUGGAAUUCCAUGUGUAGCGGUGAAAUGCGUAGAUAUAUGGAGGAACACCGGUGGCGAAAGCGGCUCUCUGGCUUGUAACUGACGCUGAGGCUCGAAAGCGUGGGGAGCAAACAGGAUUAGAUACCCUGGUAGUCCACGCUGUAAACGGUGAGUGCUAGGUGUUAGACCCUUUCCGGGGUUUAGCGCCGUAGCUAACGCAUUAAGCACUCCGCCUGGGGAGUACGACCGCAAGGUUG
rnacentral:rRNA from 1 species